ensembl:lncRNA
AGAAGAUUUUGUCUUUAAUCGGAGAUGCAGCAGUGACAGGCAUCAAAUCGGGUGUGGAUUCAGAAGAAGUGACCGUGACUUUGGAGCUUUUGCCGGCUGUUUGACCUUCCACAAUGGACCUUGCUGAGGAGAGAGAAGUUGGAUAGGCCCCGCUGGAGCCUGAGAUGAAUUUGUCACAGAUCCUAUUAGAUGGCAACCCUCCCCUGUACCAAACUCCCAAACCAAAGAGGUUCCAAACAGAGGAAAUGAUUGAAAUCCAGACCCAGCUGUUGAAAGAAGUUACUGCACUAUGAAACGUUCAGGAGGAGUUGCUUCAGGUGGAG